GAUGAACGCUGGCGGCGUGCCUAAUACAUGCCAGUAGAACGCUGAAGGAGGAGCUUGCUCUUCUGGAUGAGUUGCGAACGGGUGAGUAACGCGUAGGUAACCUGCCUGGUAGCGGGGGAUAACUAUUGGAAACGAUAGCUAAUACCGCAUGACAACAGUUAUUGCAUGAUAACUGUUUAAAAGGGGCAACUGCUCCACUACCAGAUGGACCUGCGUUGUAUUAGCUAGUUGGUGAGGUAACGGCUCACCAAGGCGACGAUACAUAGCCGACCUGAGAGGGUGAUCGGCCACACUGGGACUGAGACACGGCCCAGACUCCUACGGGAGGCAGCAGGAGGGAAUCGGCGGCAAUGGACGGAAGUCUGACCGAGCAACGCCGCGGGAGUGAAGAAGGAUGUCGGAUCGUAAAGCUCUGUUGUAAGAGAAGAACGAGUGUGAGAGUGGAAAGUUCACACUGUGACGGUAUCUGACCAGAAAGGGACGGCUAACUACGUG
rnacentral:rRNA from 1 species